AUUUCCAUGUCUCUUGAAAUGUA
rnacentral:miRNA from 10 species